CGAGGUAAUUUGUUUUUUUAUUGGAUUCUAGUAUGAAUGGAUUUUUUGUUAUUAAAUAUAUUGAUUUUAAAAAGAAUUUUAAAUUUAUUUAAAAAAUAAUAAAUAAAAUAAAACUAAGAAAAGUCUUUAGAAAUUUAUUAUUUAAUUUAAUUAGGGAAAUAAAAUAAUUAAUAUUUUUUUCUUAAUCAAAAAAAAAAAUUUCUCUAGAGUUAACAGGAAUAAAUAUUAAUUUAUUAUUUUUACAUCGAUGUUGUUUUAUUUAAUAUUAAAAAUGAGAAACUUUUGAGUGAGAGACUGUUCUUCUUUUUUUAAUACGUGAAAUUAGUUUAAUU
rnacentral:rRNA from 1 species